GAUGAACGCUGGCGGCGUGCCUAAUACAUGCAAGUCGAGCGAACGGACGAGAAGCUUGCUUCUCUGAUGUUAGCGGCGGACGGGUGAGUAACACGUGGAUAACCUACCUAUAAGACUGGGAUAACUUCGGGAAACCGGAGCUAAUACCGGAUGAUAUUUUGAACCGCAUGGUUCAAAAGUGAAAGACGGUCUUGCUGUCACUUAUAGAUGGAUCCGCGCUGCAUUAGCUAGUUGGUAAGGUCACGGCUUACCAAGGCAACGAUGCAUAGCCGACCUGAGAGGGUGAUCGGCCACACUGGAACGGAGACACGGUCCAGACGCCUACGGGAGGCAGCAGUAGGGAAUCUUCCGCAAUGGGCGAAAGCCUGACGGAGCAACGCCGCGUGAGUGAUGAAGGUCUUCGGAUCGUAAAACUCUGUUAUGAGGGAAGAACAUAUGUGUAAGUAACUGUGCACAUCUUGACGGUACCUAAUCAGAAAGCCACGGCUAACUACGUG
rnacentral:rRNA from 1 species